rnacentral:rRNA from 1 species
UACGUAGGGGGCAAGCGUUGUCCGGAUUUAUUGGGCGUAAAGAGCGUGUAGGCGGCCUGAAAGGUCAGCUGUGAAAACUCGAGGCUCAACCUCGAGACGUCGGUUGAAACCAUCUGGCUAGAGUCCGGAAGAGGAGUGUGGAAUUCCCGGUGUAGCGGUGAAAUGCGCAGAUAUCGGGAAGAACACCCGUGGCGAAGGCGGCUACCUGGACCAGCAUUGACACUCAAGCACGAAAGCGUGGGGAGCAAACAGG